rnacentral:ribozyme from 14 species
CAAAGAACAAAAAAGAACAAAAAAGAAGAAAAAGAAAAGAAAAGAAGACGGUCUUGUAUCCCUCUUU